GUCUUUUUGAUAUUUAUUUAAGGUCAGGCCUGCCCAAUGAUUUAUAUUUAAUGGCUGCAGUAUUUUAACUGUACGAAGGUAGCAUAAUCAUUUGUUUAAUAAUUUUAGACUAGUAUGAAUGGUCUUAUGAGAGUUAAUCUUUCUUAUUUAUAUAAAUAAGAAAUUAUUUUUUUAGUGAAAAAACUGAAAUUUUUUUAUAGGACGAGAAGACCCUAUAGAACUUAUAUAAUCUUAUAUAUAAGAUUAUAUGUAAGAUUAUUUAAUUGGGGUGAUUUUAAUUUUUAAUUAACAAUUUUUUAUUUUAUCAUUGAUUUUUGAUUUUUAUGAUCCAAUUUUUUGAUUAUAAGAUUAAGUUACCUUAGGGAUAACAGCGUAAUUUAACUGGAGAGUUCUUAUCGAUAGUUUAAGUUUGCGA
rnacentral:rRNA from 1 species